GCCCUGCUGGCGCAAUGGUAGCGCGCAAGACUUCUAUCCCGAGUAAUCUUGAGGUUGUGGGUUCGAGCCCCACGUGGGGUG